rnacentral:rRNA from 1 species
UACGUAGGGCGCAAGCGUUGUCCGGAAUUAUUGGGCGUAAAGGGCGCGUAGGCGGUGCGGUAAGUCACCUGUGAAAUCUCCUGGCUCAACUGGGAGCUUGCAGGCGAAACUGCCGUGCUGGAGUGUGGGAGAGGUGCGUGGAAUUCCCGGUGUAGCGGUGAAAUGCGCAGAUAUCGGGAGGAACACCGGUGGCGAAGGCGGUUCUCUGGGCCUGACCUGACGCUGAGGAGCGAAAGCGUGGGGAGCGAACAGG